UGUUAAAAUAUUCUUCUAUUUGUACUGUUUAAAAUUAGCAUACAUGACUGAAAAAUCAAACAGUGGCACAUGAUGUGCCAUAUGAACAUCAUGUUGAUGCACAAAAAUCUUAUAACAGUAGAAAUGAAUGAAAAAUUUAACA
rfam:Gossypium raimondii Chr07_contig_28, whole genome shotgun sequence.